rnacentral:rRNA from 1 species
ACGAACGCUGGCGGUGUGCUUAACACAUGCCAGUCGAACGGAAAGGCCCUGCUUUUGUGGGGUGCUCGAGUGGCGAACGGGUGAGUAACACGUGAGUAACCUGCCCUUGACUUUGGGAUAACUUCAGGAAACUGGGGCUAAUACCGGAUAGGGGCUCCUGCUGCAUGGUGGGGGUUGGAAAGUUUCGGCGGUUGGGGAUGGACUCGCGGCUUAUCAGCUUGUUGGUGGGGUAGUGGCUUACCAAGGCUUUGACGGGUAGCCGGCCUGAGAGGGUGACCGGCCACAUUGGGACUGAGAUACGGCCCAGACUCCUACGGGAGGCAGCAGUGGGGAAUAUUGCACAAUGGGCGGAAGCCUGAUGCAGCAACGCCGCGUGCGGGAUGACGGCCUUCGGGUUGUAAACCGCUUUCGCCUGUGACGAAGCGUGAGUGACGGUAAUGGGUAAAGAAGCACCGGCUAACUACGUG